AUCCAGAUGGUGUUUAAGUGUGUGUGUCCCUACAUUUUAACUUUUUAGAAACAGAAAAGAUGGGGUUUGGGGGAUGAACACCCAGAAUGGUCCAUCCAAAUUCUAAGCCACACAAAAGUCAGAGGCUUGACAGGGCAUUUCUUGUGGUCUAGCACUGGCAGACUUGCCAUCUUAUUUGGUGCUAUUUUGGAGAUGUAAACGACCUCCUUCCUCAAACCUCUCAUUAUCUAGUGAAAAUGGUGAUACUGGGCAUACAUAGGCUUUUACGGAAUUUGUGUUCAUUGGAUCACCAUAUUGAUGUGGGCCAGGUUUGCAAAGAUUGCUUUCAAUAUUCCAGAACGAUAACAUGGAGAUGUGGAGAGAUUUCACUGACUAAGGAGAUUUGAGUGACUCACUGUCUGGGACUAACGCCGUAACAACACAGGCACCACCCGUCAUCACAUUUGCCACAGCCCAUGGGUAGCGACGGCCAAUGCGAUCCACUGUUAACAAGAGGAUGAAGGCAGCUGGGAACUCAACCAGAGCGGAAUAGAGGAAAUCCAGGUCCCUAAACACCAGAGGGCACCAGCAGUGGCCAGCCCCACUGCUAACCCGGGGGGUCCUGCCCGGCAAGAGGAACUGCAAGGUGCCGUAACUCAGGACGUAGCCUGUCAGCCAGCCCCCCUUGCUGACCAGCCCCUGGAUCAACCGAAAGAUCACUGUCCACGUGUAGCUGGGUGCGAAGGCCACGAGAACCCCUGAGACAGAAUUGAUGAGGACUGUGAUCAAGAGGCAGAGCUUGCGGCCAAACCUGCAUAGGGAAAGAAGAAAAUAAAAAAGAAGAAAAAAGGCUCAGCUUGCAGCUGCACAAACCCCCAGCUGAAUGACAAAAAGAUUACUCAUGAGUAACACAUUGAGACCAACCCAUGCAGGGCCACCAACCUCCAUAGAGGUUGCAUGUGGCAGAAGGGUUGGAGCUUGAUGAUCCUUGAGGUCAUUUCCAACCCAAGCCCUUCUAUGAUUCUAUCAAACAGUGGUUGCUUUCUUCUUUCAGGUUUUGUUCCAAAUGUUUUCUCAGGUACAAGGAAUGUAAAGCUUUAUUAGUACCCCAAAUCCUGAUCUGAAUAGUAAGUCUUUGAUCAUCCACCAUGUGGUGUGUUUAAGGAGCUGACCGCUCCUUCCCAAACCACUUCCCUGGUCUUUUCCUCUCAUCUACUUUCCCACCCACUGGGGCACAGACCUGUGGAGAAGAGCUGAGGUGGAAGUUGUGCAUGUUGUUACCAUGUUUGCUUAGCACUGCCAUUACGACAGCAGUCUGAAAAAUGUGGUAUCGGACUGAUGGUGUGCACAGUGGCCAAAUCCAGAAGCAAGAGUUAAUAGAAGGAAGAGGGACUAUAUCUCUUCUGAGAUAUGGUUGGAAAUGGAGGGACCACAGAAGGGGCCUGAAAAGCAGGAGGAAUGUAGGAGCCAUGUUGUUUUGUUCUAUUCCUGAGCUCUGGUGCUUUUCCCAUUUGCACUGGCUGGUGACAGAUACCAAGAGUCCACGUGGUGCUCGGGCAGAAAGAAAGCACCACCUGCUUUGGCCAACCUCCCCUGCCACCACGCUCACCUGCUGCACACACAAGGCGAGGUGGCAGACCAAAGGGUGUGAAGAGGCUGAGGAUGGUCCCUGUCCCCCUUGUCUCUACUCGUUCUGAAUAGGAGUCUGGAUCUGCUAUUCCCUUUAUGGCAUUUUUCAUUUCAAUAGAAGCUCAGGGAACUCCCUCAUCCUGCGUUAUCAGGUCAUCACUUACUUCCGGUUAAUGACUUAGUAAAUGUGUUCAAUAAAUGCCCUAAUGAGGCCCUUCAUCCCAUCUUUCAAAGCUGCAAUAUUUUUUUAUUAUUAUUAUUAUUAUGUAGAUCGUGUUUGAUUACUGUUAUCUUUACCUGUUUUCUCAUUUAAUCUUUGCUGUCUGCAGUCUGUCUCUUAUUGAAGGGGGUCUUGGGCAAUCCUGUUAUUUGUCAUUCCCUGUAUCACUGUGACUCACCCAUACAUAGUUAGAAAUAGAUUGUUUCCAGAAGAAACAAGCUUACUGGAGCACUAGAAGGGCAUUUUUCUCUAGCAGACAGAGACAUAUAUUCAGUUAGAAGUAUGAUUUAUAAAAGCCAUUAAAUUAGUCAGUGUGCACUGACAAAAACAGCAUCAUAAUAAAUGCCAGCCAAAAUAAAUGUCUUCUGUUCUCCACAAUAACCAGCUGAUCAAAUCUCUCAUACUUUCCUUCUUUCAUGUGUCUGACAUAUUGAUGUUUUUUGACUCUGUUUCAAAGACCAGCCCAUUGAGAGGCUUUUCAGAUCACGAGAGAUGUCCUUUCUAGAGAAGGCCCUUUCCCAGGCCUGGCAAUAAACGACAGAGGUGCAAACACUGAAUCUUAGCACUGACCUUGUCAGCUCUCUGAGGAAAUAGGAGUGCCCUUUCCAAAGCACCAGUGCUUGGAAACGUGCCCAGAGCCCGAUCAAGUCAAUGAGUCAGUCUAGUCCCUCUGAGAGAAGUGAGCCUUGGGAGAGCUGAUGAAAUCUCCCCUGAAGCACCAGAAAUGUUCUCAAAAGUUGCCCCGAGUACAGCAGAUUUCAGACACCUAACGUGUGGAAAAAACAGCACUCUGUAUGCACUCCUGAUAGAGGACAGGUGUUUCAAAUUCAGGAAACACAUAAUUCAUAGGUCUUUUUUUCCCAUUUUGUCUACUAAAUUUUAGGCUUCUGGAGUUGUUUUUGUCCUAACCACCUGGAUAUGAGAUCUUGCUUUGUUCCUGAAGGCUUGCACUGCUUUAAGACCAUAGAGAACGGGGAGUGGGUGUCAGUGAGUACAGCAGCAGAAAAAUACUUAGUGUUAUGAUGUGUACUUGCAUUAUCUUAACAGGAAUGAUAUCCGGCUCUCACAUCUUAUAACUUGCAUGAUUAUUUAGUGUUUUUAAACAGAAAGAGCAUUUCAGUCAUAAUUUGCUGUGGGACUGUGAUCCUUGAUUCUACUGGUUCAUGUAAUCAUAUGCUGUCAAGGAAUUCUUUUGGUAGUCAUUAUUGCUUAGUUCAUCUCUGUGUUUGAAAGGUAAUUUGAACAGUAGCUCCCCUGGUAGCUAUGGGAUCUGUUCAUCACUGUUUCAUGUCCUGUCAUACCUAGGCUGCUACAUAUCUCCUCCUUUGCUUGCAUAAGCUGUGCAUCAUUACUGAAAUACCAGUCCAUGUAAAAAAAUUGAAUACUUUUAAGUACACUGGAAAACUGGCCAGAAAGCAAGAGUUUUGAUUUAAGGGAAAGCGAGGAUAAUAGUUUCUGAUGGAAAAGAGAAAUCAAGAUCUUUCAAAAUGCGGAAGAAUGUGGAAGAAAAAAUGGAGGAAGAAGGAAAGUGAAAAGGGAGCUUUGGCAGUGUACGUUCAGCAAAGCUGAACAGUUCGAGUCCUCCUCAGCAUGGGAGGAAAAGGCUAUCACCACCAGUGCUGUCAUAAAUUCUAAGAAUGCAAGGAAAAAACAUUUCUUCAGGUUGACUCUAUGGAAGGAAACCUCUGUUGGACUGUUCAUCCCCUAUCAACUUCACCUCUUCCAAAUUCCAAUUUCAGCCUCUCUUAUCAUUGUACUUGGGAAAAGAAAAGCACGGGAAAGUCAGCUACAAAGCAUAAUGUUUGUUUGGAGUGUAACCUAAAAAAAAUGUGAGCAGAUAUGUGGAACGCUCACAUUUAUGAUGGUAAAGAGGAGGUGAGGGAUAAUGAGAUCUAUACAAGGCUGUAUACAGAGCCAGCUGAGAGAGAGAGGGACAAGAGAAGAUUUAGGAAGUAACUUUUUCUUCAUGUGGGAAAAAUAUUCCUAUUUUAAAACUGAUUUACAGCUAUCUAGAUAGUGCUAAAACUAACAUGACACGAAUUUAUUACAAGAUGGGCAAAUAGUUAUUGGUGUGUGACAUAAACUUUCAUUUAAAACUCUGAGCUCAUAUUGCAGAUUGUCACUGUUAAAGAAAAAAUCUCUUCACUUGCAAUUAUGCAAAUUCUACACAAAACCAUUGAAAGAGUGAACACUGUGACAUUUCCAUGGAUUCCUGGAUUGCAGCAGCCUUUGAAAGCCAGGGCUUAUGAAUCACGAUCUAUUCAUUUUUAAGAGAUAAAUGGGCCUUCUGAAAUGAGUUUUGGUGCAUUUAUUUCCCCUUUGAGUUGUGAAUGUUGAUCGGUGACAUUCAGGAAGCAGAGGACUGGAAGAAACAGUUCAUCUCACGCCUGUAUAUGCAUUACAUACCUAUCUGCCAUGUAGCCAAUGAUCACGGAGCCAAUAAAGAACCCGACGUUCACAGAUGACUGAAAGAGGUCCAGCUUCCAGGAGUCUUCACACACCAAGUUAAACUGCAAGGACACUCACAGAAGGAGGGAACAUUCAACUCAAACCAUGGCUUUUCAAGGAGGGAUAAUGGAAGGAAGCAACUUGGAAUGGAAAAGGGUGGAAUGGAAAAAAAAAAACAACUAGGAAACAGGCUCUGAAAAAUAAAAUAUAUAAUAUCUUAAAACCAACAUCUGCAAUACAUCUCAUCCAGAUUUUCCCAGACCUUACAGAAAAGUUAUGCCUUGGAAAAUGAUUACACAAUGACAUAAGAACAGAACGAGAAAGGCGGAGAAUCUUUGAAUGGAAAAAUAAAAAAGCUCAGAGAAAUGUUGCCUUCUCCUCCCCCAUGUCUGCUUGAAAUUUAGAGGAUGCUUGGAGCAUUGUUUCCUUCUCAUAUGCCAAGGACUACUCCUAGCCAUGCAUUAUCUCACUGCGUGAAACCAGUGCAGUGUGGGAGGCCGUGGGGCUACCACUAGGUCAGUGGGGCAAUUUGUGUGCAGGGACUGUGAGCAAGUGUCUCCAUCCACGGAGCUUUCUAUGGCUGUGCUUUGCCCUCAGACAGCACUGCUGGGUAGUGAGGAGUUUUCCCAGCCUUGACUGAGCAGUACGGUUUGCAGGAGCUGGGAGAAGCCAGGAACAUGGCCAAAUGUAGUUUUUGCAAAAGUUAAAGAGGAGUCCUUGGUAAAUCAAUGAAUGCACUGCCUUUUUCUUUUUAAAAACUAUUAUGAAGAUAUCAAUUCAAAAGUUACUAGAAUUCAGCCUGAAAAUUUUAUUUCAACCCCCCUUUCUACUCCAGGUAAGUUUAAGGAUUGCAGGUAAGAUAGAUAUUGUUGGACAAACUGUGCCUUACCUCGGUCACUAUGGAGGUCCCAGGGUAGUCGUAGACCCACCCAUCUUGGCAGGGGCCAAGCGGAACGGAGCUCCAGUUGCCCACAAGGCUGCCAAGGGGGUCGGUGCAGCUGACACCUGUUGCGUUCCAGUCCACCUCAUACCUGCUGCAGCGGCUGCUGUAGGCAGCCCCAUGGCUGCCCCACUCGGGAACGGUGUGGUUCAGCUGCUCCGCCAGGCUCCAGCCACAGCGCUGGCUCAGCUCCACCACACCAGGGCUGAAGCAGCGGUGCUCGGGGGUGAACCCGAAGAAGACGACACCCACGUAGACUGGAGUGAAGGCAGCAGAAAGCAAACACAGGACGAAGAAGGUUUGUUUCUGGAACCUGUCAAAUUCUCCAAUGUGCUCUAAAACGUCAUCCAAGGUACCCAGACCAAGCUUGCCAUGGUUCACAGGUGACUGCUCCAUGACCAAGGAGCAAGAAGAGGAUGGAGGGUUGGUGAGUGUCCCCAAGACACAGUACUGGCCCUCGGGGGCCUUCGCUACCCUGCAUCCCUGGGAGAGAGUAGGAGGAGGCUGUCCCAGGCUACAGCCUCAUCUGUCAAACACGUUCCAGCUGUUUCAUGUGGAUUUAUUACACAGUGUUAUCGGGUAAAUAUGUGCUUAAGCAACAGAGGCAUCUUCAAUCUCUUUUA